rnacentral:piRNA from 1 species
UACACUUUGGUAUGUGAUUUUGGAGCCUA